ACUUGCCUCUCCACACCACUCACUUCGAGACUCUCCCUCCCUCUCUCUCUCUCUCUGUGUGUCUCUCUCUCUCCCCCCUGUGCCGUCUCUUAUUGGUGAAUGUGAAAUCAGUCGGUACGGCGCCGAGGCUCAACUAGAGCAGCAGGAGCAGCAGCCUGCGCUUGACAGCUGCCUCCAGCGUUCCUCCACCGGAGCCGUGUUGCUCUGCAUAGAGGAGUGCGCCGCACAAUCCGGGAUCCUGCAGACGAUGAAAACGCCAUCUGGGGUGAGGAUGGAGAUAAUCGGGGUGAAGAUGUGAUCUUCCUUACUUCCUGUCGCCCCUCUGAGUUGCACUUUUCCCGCGCUCGGCACUACUUACCCGGGAUGCGAGCGGCUUUCCCAGGCAUUUAGAUUUCCCACCAGCGUCUAGACACUCCCAGGAGGUUCUGCCAUCCAUUAUAAAGAUGGAGCUUUCAAAGAGAAGAGGAAGCGAGGGCCUCACACAGAGUGCGUUCUGCCUAAAAUCACACCGCUACGUACAGAACAACUUGUGCCGAACUCAACCCAGAUCCCAUCAUUAGAGGAACUCCAGAGGAGACAACCGGCGGAUCUUCUUCCCCGCGGAGCGCCGGUGCCGUGCUUAUGGCAGCUUCGGCCUUUUUGUCCUCAUCCAUCAAACCGUGGGCCGCGCUCGGCCGGGUCUCAGCUGGUGGGAAGCCGAAACUCAGAGAGGGAUGUGGCUCCAUCCUGAGUCUCCCAGGUUGGUUUUUCCUCUAAUCACACACUUCACUUUAUGGAGUGACCCGCUUUACAACCCGGUGAAAAGGAUCUGAAGCUCUGCUCGUUUUAUCUCUUUAUGUGUCUUCAUCAGCUCCACAGGUGGGUAUCGACGUUUCUAUCCCACAUACAUCACAUCAGGACGGUUUCACAGAGGGAAACAAAAACCCUUUUUCACCUCUUUGUUUCUUCCCUCCUUUCAAGUCCCAGAAACAUUUGAACCCUCGGUCAGCUCCACACAACAAAUUAUCCAAAUUAUAUGUUCACAAAAUAAAACAUUUUACAUCUUCUCUAACAUAAAAGUAUUUCACAUGAUUCUUUUAUUGCUCUGUGGAAAAUGUUGAAAUUUUUAAAUGGUUUUGUGUGUUGUCACGGUUACGGGUUUCACCUUCAGGCGUUCCACAUCCUCCACGUUUCUGUUUUCAAGCUUCAGACCUUCAGGUUAGGGUUGUAAUUAAUCAUUCAUUUCAUUACAAUUUGAAAUGAUCUUGCUUACAUCCUCUGCAUUGGAGCUUUAAGAAUCCAGAAUGAUGGUUUCCAUCAUUCUGCAUCACUUAUAUGUCUCAAAGAUCACAAAUCACUUAUCAUCUUAAUGUCCUAACGUCCAAAAUUAGACAUUUUCCUACUAAUACAAGUUAUUUGUGCAAAGAACACGUUGCCUUAUACAGGGGAAUAUGGAGUUUGCAGGAAGUGGACACUAUGUGGUGACUAUAGUCACAUUAAUUUUCCAUAAUGUUCUGCAGCAGUGAGCUGCAUGAAUCAGCUCUAGUUGGCUCUCGGGCUAAACUCUGAAAUAUUAAAUUUGCUUAAAAAUUUCACUUCUAUUCUUCUAUAUUUCUGCUCUUAAUGUAUUUUCUUCUGGCUACAUGAUCUGCGGAUCUACUCGUGCAGAAUGAGAAUAAAUAUGAAGAUAUUUCUCCCUGGAGGUUUUACAAACACUCAUCAGCAGAAGGAAUGCCAUGUUUUCUUACAUUCAAUUAUAAAUCACAAACUUCUUGUUUGUCCACUUUAAACUGGUUGGUUUUCUACCAUUUGUUUUUCCAGAUCUACUAAUAAAGGGUAAAUAUAGAUCAAUAAUAGCCAGAAUUCUCCAUUUGAAACCAGUUUGGUUUCCAGUUUGAAACUUUAGUUAGAGAUUGGAGUGACGGUGUCACGUCUGGCAGUAGAUAUUGGUCUCGACUCCACCAACACUUCCAGUUACUAUGAUCAAGCAGCUCAAGCUUCGUCUUGUUUCACCAUUAAACUUUUCUCCAGAAGACACUGAGAUAAAACUGGAUUCACUGUGAAAUGUGACACUAAAUAUCCAAGCCAAUUCCAUUUCGCCUCAGGGAUCAAGACUGGAUCAAACAGCAAAAGUAAUUGUAGAUGCAUCUAAACUAACUUAAUGGUGGAUAAAAGAUGCAAACAUUGAGCAUCUGGAACAGAGCUGAAGUCAGUUCUACUAAUAUUAAAAGAACAGUGCUUUAAAUUCAGUUUAAUGCAGGAAACCAACCAAAUUAAAUAAACUCCACUAAGUAAAAUCAUCAGAUAAUCCAGAAUGCAGUUGAUGGGAAGUGAGAUUUCUCUGCAACCUGAUAAGCAACUAUCGCUCUGAUGACUUGGAGAAAAUGAAAACGGUCACAGAGGAGUAAAUUUCUGCAAAAAACUCUGACAUUUAAGUAGUAAAAAGUAAAUACAUGGAUAUUUUCUGAUGAAAAUCUUUCUCAAUAUUUAAAGGCAUACAUUUAUAAUAAUUACAA